AACGCAUAUUGCGCUCCUUGGUAUUCCGAGGAGCAUGCCUGUUCGAGCGUCAUUACAACCCUCAAGCCUUGCUUGGUAUUGGGUAACAUCAGCGAUGAUGUACCCUAAAGUUAGUGGCAGUGCUGCUCAGCUCUAAGUGUAGUAAAGAUCUCGCUACAGAUGCCCAGCAAACACUUGUUAUGGCCCUGGAAUUUUCAAGGUUGACCUCGGAUCAGGUAGGGAUACCCGCUGAACUUAA
rnacentral:misc_RNA from 1 species